rnacentral:rRNA from 1 species
AGUGAACGCUGGCGGCAGGCCUAACACAUGCAAGUCGAACGGCAGCACAGGGGAGCUUGCUCCCUGGGUGGCGAGUGGCGGACGGGUGAGGAAUACAUCGGAAUCUACCCUGUCGUGGGGGAUAACGUGGGGAAACUUACGCUAAUACCGCAUACGACCUCCGGGUGAAAGCAGGGGAUCGCAAGACCUUGCGCGAUUGGAUGAGCCGAUGUCCGAUUAGCUAGUUGGCGGGGUAAAGGCCCACCAAGGCGACGAUCGGUAGCUGGUCUGAGAGGAUGAUCAGCCACACUGGAACUGAGACACGGUCCAGACUCCUACGGGAGGCAGCAGUGGGGAAUAUUGGACAAUGGGCGAAAGCCUGAUCCAGCCAUGCCGCGUGGGUGAAGAAGGCCUUCGGGUUGUAAAGCCCUUUUGUUGGGAAAGAAAACUUUCCGGUUAAUACCCGGAGAGAAUGACGGUACCCAAAGAAUAAGCACCGGCUAACUUCGUG